rnacentral:rRNA from 1 species
UACAGGCUUAACACAUGCAAGUCGAGGGGCAGCAUGGUCUUAGCUUGCUAAGGCCGAUGGCGACCGGCGCACGGGUGAGUAACACGUAUCCAACCUGCCGUCUACUCUUGGACAGCCUUCUGAAAGGAAGAUUAAUACAAGAUGGCAUCAUGAGUCCGCAUGUUCACAUGAUUAAAGGUAUUCCGGUAGACGAUGGGGAUGCGUUCCAUUAGAUAGUAGGCGGGGUAACGGCCCACCUAGUCUUCGAUGGAUAGGGGUUCUGAGAGGAAGGUCCCCCACAUUGGAACUGAGACACGGUCCAAACUCCUACGGGAGGCAGCAGUGAGGAAUAUUGGUCAAUGGGCGAGAGCCUGAACCAGCCAAGUAGCGUGAAGGAUGACUGCCCUAUGGGUUGUAAACUUCUUUUAUAAAGGAAUAAAGUCGGGUAUGGAUACCCGUUUGCAUGUACUUUAUGAAUAAGGAUCGGCUAACUCCGUGCCAGCAGCCGCGGUAAUACGGAGGAUCCGAGCGUUAUCCGGAUUUAUUGGGUUUAAAGGGAGCGUAGAUGGAUGUUUAAGUCAGUUGUGAAAGUUUGCGGCUCAACCGUAAAAUUGCAGUUGAUACUGGAUAUCUUGAGUGCAGUUGAGGCAGGCGGAAUUCGUGGUGUAGCGGUGAAAUGCUUAGAUAUCACGAAGAACUCCGAUUGCGAAGGCAGCCUGCUAAGCUGCAACUGACAUUGAGGCUCGAAAGUGUGGGUAUCAAACAGGAUUAGAUACCCUGGUAGUCCACACGGUAAACGAUGAAUACUCGCUGUUUGCGAUAUACAGCAAGCGGCCAAGCGAAAGCGUUAAGUAUUCCACCUGGGGAGUACGCCGGCAACGGUGAAACUCAAAGGAAUUGACGGGGGCCCGCACAAGCGGAGGAACAUGUGGUUUAAUUCGAUGAUACGCGAGGAACCUUACCCGGGCUUAAAUUGCAGAUGAAUUACGGUGAAAGCCGUAAGCCGCAAGGCAUCUGUGAAGGUGCUGCAUGGUUGUCGUCAGCUCGUGCCGUGAGGUGUCGGCUUAAGUGCCAUAACGAGCGCAACCCUUGUUGUCAGUUACUAACAGGUUCCGCUGAGGACUCUGACAAGACUGCCAUCGUAAGAUGUGAGGAAGGCGGGGAUGACGUCAAAUCAGCACGGCCCUUACGUCCGGGGCUACACACGUGUUACAAUGGGGGGUACAGAGGGCCGCUACCACGCGAGUGGAUGCCAAUCCCCAAAACCUCUCUCAGUUCGGACUGGAGUCUGCAACCCGACUCCACGAAGCUGGAUUCGCUAGUAAUCGCGCAUCAGCCACGGCGCGGUGAAUACGUUCCCGGGCCUUGUACACACCGCCCGUCAAGCCAUGGGAGCCGGGGGUACCUGAAGUGCGUAACCGCGAGGAGCGCCCUAGGGUAAAACUGGUGACUGGGGCU